CCUACGGGAGGCAGCAGUGAGGAAUAUUGGUCAAUGGACGAGAGUCUGAACCAGCCAAGUAGCGUGAAGGAUGACUGCCCUAUGGGUUGUAAACUUCUUUUAUAUGGGAAUAAAAUGUUCCACGUGUGGGAUUUUGUAUGUACCAUAUGAAUAAGGAUCGGCUAACUCCGUGCCAGCAGCCGCGGUAAUACGGAGGAUCCGAGCGUUAUCCGGAUUUCUUGGGUUUAAAGGGAGCGUAGGUGGAUGGUUAAGUCAGUUGUGAAAGUUUGCGGCUCAACCGUAAAAUUGCAGUUGAAACUGGCAGUCUUGAGUACAGUAGAGGUAGGCGGAAUUCGUGGUGUAGCGGUGAAAUGCUUAGAUAUCACGAAGAACUCCGAUUGCGAAGGCAGCUCACUGGACUGCAACUGACACUGAGGCUCGAAAGUGUGGGUAUCAAACAGGAUUAGAUACCCGUGUAGUC
rnacentral:rRNA from 1 species